rnacentral:lncRNA from 10 species
AGGUCAUUGUGUCUAAGCCCAAAGCCAUGAGAUGGAGGAAUACACUCUUCCCUCAUUGAGGAGUUGACUCUCCUAUAAGUCAUGAAACUUAUGAAUUUGAAGCAAGUAGAAGCCUGCUAAGUUCUUGUGCACCGAGGCUUUUCUUUUGGAAUGCCGUCUUGAGACCACCAUGAUAUGGAGAAACUCCCCGGGAAGGAGCCCAGGUGAAAGGCCAUGUGGAGAGAGAGGUCCAGCCAUUCCAGGCUUUGCAGAUAAGUUCAAACCCUGGCCAAUUAGCCAGCUUAAUGCAGCAUAUGAGGGAGCCCAGGUAAGGCCAUCAGAAACACCACCCAGACAACAGACAGAAUUACAGCAAUGAAUGAAUCCUUAUUGUUUUAAACUACUUAAGUGCUCAAAUGUUAUGUUACAUGGCAAUAGAUAACUGGAACAUAGCUCAUGGAUUGUUACGUACAUCACCU